CCAAAGAAGAUGUAGUUCACCAGAGCAUACUCCAGCAGAGCCAGGAAGACAAACACAAAGCAGCCCAUGAGGUGUAGCGGAAAUGGAGAGAAUAAUAUUGGACCCCGGAGGACUACCUUGGUGCCUGGAAAAGGUUUCUGCAGAUGACAUUUACUGUGUAGGAUCUGAAGACUUCAUUACCAUGGCAAUUCCAUUCAAAAACGCACUAUUUGCCGACUACCAGUGAUGCAUCAUUUGAUAUUUAAGGUAAUGACAGCAUUCAGGGCGCAGUCAGCCCCCACUGCCAGCUGCUUCCCACCCACAGCCUAUCAUGAAAACAUAAGGGUGGUGGAUCUUAGGGAAAAUAUUGCUGUUUGACAUUUUUACUGCAAAAGGCUAAUUAGUUGAUCUCUGAUUAUUGCAUUUUUAAAUCCUUAAUAGUCAAUAAAGCUGUGGAAUUUAGAUGUCUUGCUGUUGCCUCUGCAUGUUCCCCCGUUUUGCCAUGAUAAACAGCUCAGCAAGUGACUUUAUGUAAUCCUAUACCCAAUAUGUCUAUUCAGGAAAAACAUCAUGUUCAGAAACACAAGUCAUACACUUUGUAACACACACAUGCAGACUAACACCAGGUUGGACCUAUUUUUGCUUUCAGAACUAUUUUCCUUGUGGGGAUGCUGCUAAUACAGAUGGAAUGAUUUUAAUCGUUUAAUAAAAGCCCUACAAACAUGUUAGUUCCCAUUUAGAAUUCUGAAUUUCCUUGGUGUGUUAAUUAUGAAUCCUGGUAUUUAUGUAUUUUUGAUGCAUAACAGUUGACAAGGUGGCACUGAAUUUUAUCAACUUGGAUGAGAUUUAACCUUCAUUCCAAAAUUUCUAAAUAAAUCUAAC